rnacentral:rRNA from 1 species
GACGAACGCUGGCGGCGUGCCUAACACAUGCAAGUCGAGCGAGAGACUUCGGUCUCUAGCGGCGGACGGGUGAGUAACACGUGGGUAACCUGCCUCAUAGAGGGGGAUAGCCUCCCGAAAGGGAGAUUAAUACCGCAUAACAUUAUGCUUUCGCAUGGGAGUAUAAUCAAAGGAGUAAUCCGCUAUGAGAUGGACCCGCGGCGCAUUAGCUAGUUGGUGAGGUAACGGCUCACCAAGGCGACGAUGCGUAGCCGACCUGAGAGGGUGAUCGGCCACAUUGGAACUGAGACACGGUCCAGACUCCUACGGGAGGCAGCAGUGGGGAAUAUUGCACAAUGGGGGAAACCCUGAUGCAGCAACGCCGCGUGAGUGAUGAAGGCCUUCGGGUUGUAAAGCUCUGUCUUUUGGGACGAUAAUGACGGUACCAAAGGAGGAAGCCACGGCUAACUACGUGCCAGCCGCCGCAGUAAGAC